rnacentral:rRNA from 1 species
CUUUGAGAGAGAGUAAACAGUGCGUGAAACCGCUCAGAGGUAAACGGGUGGAGUUGAACUGCAAGCUCUGGGAAUUCAGCUGGUGAGCAUGUUUUGGGCUUGGUCAAAUCGGUUGUUGUCUGGGGUCUGCUUAGCUGCAGGUCUCUGCCUUCGGGUGGGGAUGUGCGAGGCACUUAUCAAGUGUUGUGCGCCCUGGAGCAAUCGAGCCGGCUUGCCAGUGCACUUUCUCAGAGUGGUCACCACGACCGGUACUGCUGUCUGGCUGUUGUGGUUAAACCGGUCUUGCAUUGGCCUUGUGUCUUUGCUUGGUCGGGACGGCAGGUAGCCCGUUGGCUUGUCUGUGGUUCGCCGCAGGCGUACGGCUUUCGGGUGUAAUCAGCUGACCAUGAUGGUUCUGUGCAGUGUGUCGGAGAUGGCGGCUUGUGGUGCAUGCGUGCGUUGCCUUGUACUGGCGGGUCUGAGUUUGGUUGCUUUGUUGCUUGUUCAAGCAGGCCUGGCGAUGGCUCGGAUUUGUUCGGUGCUUGGUGGCGUGUGUUGUGCUGAUACCAGGGCCAAUAGUCUGUGGUGUAGUGGUAGACGAUCCACCUGACCCGUCUUGAAACACGGAC